GGGCCUUUGGCGCAGUGGAUAGCGUAUCAGUUUCCGGCACUGAGGGUCGUCGGUUCGAACCCGACAAGGCUCG